GUGAAUCAUCAAAUCUUUGAACGCAUAUUGCACUCUCUGGUAUUCCGGAGAGUAUGCCUAUUUGAGGGUCAUUUUAAAUAAUAUAAAUUUCGAGAUUUUCUUGGAAUCAAAAAAUGGGACGGUCAAGCUUUCGUGUGGUGGUCGCCUACAAUGCAAGAAAAGCUCAUUUCUUGGGUUGCGUUAUACUUUCAGUUACCUCGUGACUUCACAAGGAAUCUUCGAGCGUGUUAAGAAUUAUGCAAGAGAUAAUCUUCAUUUAUCUCGAGCUAAAUAUUAAAUGUAAUCAUGACCUCAAAUUAGG
rnacentral:misc_RNA from 1 species